UCCGCUCUCCUUCUUCCCCGUUUCCCCGCCCGGGGCCGCGGCCCGCGGGAAGCCGCCCGCGCCCACGAGGUGGCCGGGCGGCCCCUCUCCUCUCUUCAUCGCGUGACUAAUAAAGGUUUUGCUGCGGAAGGAUUCCUGUGGUCGCGUGCGUUUCUGCCGGCGUAACGCUCACGCGGCUCCCAACAUCUGUACACCUAAGGAAGCUAAGCAAGAAGGAGGAUUCUAGGUGAAGCUGGGAAAGACAGAGAAUUGUGCUGCCCCUUUCUUCUCUGUUGUGAUGUGAGAGUUAAGAACAUUUCCCUUGGCGUUGAAUGGCUGAUCUUCCAUGCUCUCCACAUAGAACACGGUCUCCAAUCCUCUGAAACGCCUAAAGUUUCCCAAUCAAGCCUACCUCAAGAAGGUGAAUUUUCAACUGGAAGAUGGUGUGGCCAGCAGCAGAGCAGGGACUUUAUCUCCUGGCAAAGGAGGCAGCAAAGGCAUUCUGUUUAAAAAGCACCUGUACUCUGCCCAAAGUUGCCCCUUUGGGCAGAGUGCAGGGAAUUUUAUGAAAGAAGUGGGAAACAGUAAGAUCUGGAGAGGACAGGAACUCCACAAGGAGAGCAACAGAACCAAAAAAUUCUGAGCACAGGGGUCUUUCCUGAGACUGAUACUCCAACCAAGGACUAUGCAUGGAGAUAACCUAAGACCCCUGCACAGAUGUAGCCCACGGCAGUUCAGUGUCCAAGUGGGUUCCAUUGUAAUAGGAACAGGGACUGUCUCUGACAUGAACUGAUUGGCCCGCUCUUUAAUUACCUUCCCCUGAUGGGGAAGCAGCAUUACCAGACAACAGAAGAAGACAAUACAGCCAGUCCUGCUGAGACCUAAUUGACUAGGAUCAGAAGGAAGGAAAAGAAGACCUCCCUUAUCAGUGGACUUGGGGAGGGGCAUGCAU